GUCCCGGUAGAUUCUGCUGGUAGAAUCGCUAGACUUUCAAUCUAGAGUUCGAGGGUUCAAUUCCCUUCCGGGGUAC
rnacentral:tRNA from 3 species